rnacentral:rRNA from 1 species
UACGGAGGGUGCAAGCGUUAUCCGGAUUUACUGGGUUUAAAGGGUGCGUAGGUGGGUAGGUAAGUCAGUGGUGAAAUCUUCGAGCUUAACUCGGAAACUGCCAUUGAUACUAUUUAUCUUGAAUACUUUGGAGGUAAGCGGAAUAUGUCAUGUAGCGGUGAAAUGCUUAGAUAUGACAUAGAACACCAAUUGCGAAGGCAGCUUACUACACAGUCAUUGACGCUGAGGCACGAAAGCGUGGGGAGCAAACAGG